rnacentral:rRNA from 1 species
GACGAACGCUGGCGGCGUGCUUAACACAUGCAAGUCGAACGGUGAAGCGCCUUCCUUUUUGGUGGGUGUGGAUGAGUGGCGAACGGGUGAGUAACACGUGAGUAACCUGCCCCCUUCUUCUGGAUAACCGCAUGAAAGUGUGGCUAAUACGGGAUAUUCUGGGUCUGUCGCAUGAUGGGUCUGGGAAAGAUAUUGUUUCGGUGGGGGAUGGGCUCGCGGCCUAUCAGCUUGUUGGUGGGGUGAUGGCCUACCAAGGCGGUGACGGGUAGCCGGCCUGAGAGGGUGGACGGUCACACUGGGACUGAGACACGGCCCAGACUCCUACGGGAGGCAGCAGUGGGGAAUAUUGCACAAUGGGCGCAAGCCUGAUGCAGCGACGCCGCGUGAGGGAUGGAGGCCUUCGGGUUGUGAACCUCUUUCGCCAGUGAAGCAGGCCUGUCUCGUUUGUGGGUGGGUUGACGGUAGCUGGAUAAGAAGCGCCGGCUAACUACGUG